ACGGAGGGUGCAAGCGUUAUUCGGAAUUACUGGGCGUAAAGCGCGUGUAGGCGGUCCUGCAAGUCUGAUGUGAAAGCCCCGGGCUUAACCCGGGAAGUGCAUUGGAAACUGUGGGACUUGAGUACUGGAGAGGAUGGGGGAAUUCCCGGUGUGGACGCGAUAGGCGGGGAGGUGGGGAGGAGACGCGGAGGCGUAGGAACACAUCUGGAUGGUAAGCGGUGCUGGUACGUGUGAAUGUUGGGAGGAAGGGG
rnacentral:rRNA from 1 species